rnacentral:rRNA from 1 species
GACAGAGGUUGCAAACGUUGUUCGGAAUCACUGGGCAUAAAGCGCACGUAGGCGGUCUGUUAAGUCAGGUGUGAAAGCCCCCGGCUCAACCGGGGAACAGCAUCUGAUACUGGCAGACUCGAGGAUGGUAGGGGUGAGUGGAACUCCAGGUGGAGCGGUGAAAUGCGUAGAUAUCUGGAGGAACACCGGUGGCGAAAGCGGUUCUCUGGGCAUGACCUGACGCUGAGGAGCGAAAGCAUGGGGAGCGAACAGG